GACAGAGGGUGCAAACGUUGUUCGGAAUUACUGGGCGUAAAGCGCGUGUAGGCUGCUCGGAAAGUCGGGUGUGAAAGCCCUGGGCUCAACCUAGGAAGUGCACUCGAAACUUCCGAGCUGGAGUGCUGGAGAGGAAGGCGGAAUUCUCGGUGUAGAGGUGAAAUUCGUAGAUAUCGAGAGGAACACCGGUGGCGAAGGCGGCCUUCUGGACAGUUACUGACGCUGAGACGCGAAAGCGUGGGGAGCAAACAGG
rnacentral:rRNA from 1 species